rnacentral:rRNA from 1 species
GCACCACAAGAGCGUGGAGUAUGUGGCUUAAUUUGACUCAACGCGGAAAAGCUUAUCUGGUCCGGACGCAGUGAGGAUUGACAGACAGUUUCAGGAGUGGUUCUUGGUAAACAAUUGAGAGAGUUGAAGUUCUUUCAUGAUCUUGUGAGAGGUGGUGCAUGGCCGUUCUUAGUUCGUGUAGUGAUAUGUCUGCCUAAUCGCGUCACGAUAACCUAUUGGUCGACAACCCAAUUAUCACAACUGCAGCAUAACUCCCCUUGGGUGGGCGAGGCUCUGUGUAGGAUAGACCUCUGAACAGUACGCAACGAACGCGAUCGUAAUCCCUUGUUGAGUGGCCAUCCUGUAAGCUGCUGGAUUAGGAACCCAGUGGUAUUAUCUCAGCCACAGAUUUUCUGGUUGUAAUGGGCCAUUUUGAAACUCGGGGAACAUCUGUGACUUUCUUUCUUAACGCAA